CUUACACAUGCAGUCGAGGGGCAGCACGUCUUCGGAUGGUGGCGACCGGCGCACGGGUGCGUAACGCGUAUACAAUCUACCUUUUACAGAGAGAUACCCCAGAGAAAUUUGGAAUAAUACCUCAUAAUAUUGUUAAUUGGCAUCAAUUGACAAUUAAAGUUUCGGCGGUAAGAGAUGAGUAUGCGUCCUAUUAGCUAGUUGGUAAGGUAACGGCUUACCAAGGCGACGAUAGGUAGGGGUCCUGAGAGGGAGAUCCCCCACACUGGUACUGAGACACGGACCAGACUCCUACGGGAGGCAGCAGUGAGGAAUAUUGGUCAAUGGGCGAAAGCCUGAACCAGCCAUGCCGCGUGCAGGAAGACUGCCCUAUGGGCUGUAAACUGCUUUUAUACAGGAAGAAACACUCGGACGUGUCCGAGCUUGACGGUACUGUAUGAAUAAGCACCGGCUAACUCCGUGCCAGCAGCCGCGGUAAUACGGAGGGUGCAAGCGUUAUCCGGAAUCAUUGGGUUUAAAGGGUCCGUAGGCGGAUUAAUAAGUCAGGGGUGAAAUCCCACAGCUUAACUGUGGAACUGCCUUUGAUACUGUUAGUCUUGAGUUAUAUGGAAGUAGAUAGAAUGUGUAGUGUAGCGGUGAAAUGCAUAGAUAUUACACAGAAUACCGAUUGCGAAGGCAGUCUACUACGUAUAUACUGACGCUAAUGGACGAAAGCGUGGGGAGCGGACAGGAUUAGAUACCCUGGGUAGUCCACGCCGUAAACGAUGGACACUAGUUGUUGGAGCAACUCAGUGACUAAGCGAAAGUGAUAAGUGUCCCACCUGGGGAGUACGAUCGCAAGAUUGAAACUCAAAGGAAUUGACGGGGGCCCGCACAAGCGGUGGAGCAUGUGGUUUAAUUCGACGAUACGCGAGGAACCUUACCAGGGCUAAAUGUAGGUUGCCAUAGACAGAGAUGUUUAUUUCUCCSGGACUACUUACAGGUGCUGCAUGGUUGUCGUCAGCUCGUGCCCUGAGGGGUCCGGUUAAAUCCUAUAACCAACGCCACCCCCGUCCUUAAUUGCCCACCAAUUAAGUUGGGGGAUUUAACGAAGCCGCCGGGGCCAACCCCGAGGAAAGGGGGGGAGACGUCAAAUCAUCCCGGCCCCUACGUUCUGGGGUACCCCCCUGGUUCCAUGGUAAGGACCGAGAGCCACCCCUGGGUGGCCCGGAACGAAUUUACCAACCCUAACCCCAUUUGGAUUGGAGUUUGCAACUUGGCUCC
rnacentral:rRNA from 1 species